GACGAACGCUGGCGGCGUGCUUAACACAUGCAAGUCGAACGGUGAAAGAAGAGCUUGCUCUUCUGGAUCAGUUGCGAACGGGUGAGUAACACGUGAGUAACCUGCCCCAGACUCUGGUAUAAGCUCUGGAAACUGCGUCUAAUACCGGAUACGAGACAGAGCUGCAUUGCUACUGUCUGUAAAGUUUUUCGGUCUGUGAUGGACUCGCGGCCUAUCAGCUUGUUGGUGAGGUAACGGCUCACCAAGGCAACGACGGGUAGCCGGCAUGAGAGGGCGACCGGCAAAAAUGGGACUGAGAAAAGGCACAGAAUACAACGGGAGGCAGCAGUGGGGAAUAUUGCAGAAUGGGCGAAAGCAUGAUGCAGAGAAGCAGCGUGAGGGAUGACGGCCUUCGGGUUGUAAACAUAUUUCAGCAGGGAAGAAGCGAAAGUGACGGUAACUGAAGAAGAAGCACCGGCUAACUACGUG
rnacentral:rRNA from 1 species